UAGUAAUCUGCAAUACUCUGAUAGGAUACCACAUUUACCAGCAAAAUCGUGUUCGCAAAAUGUUGAUUGCAGCGUCCGAUUCUUUUAAUAAAAGAACGCAGAUUUCUAGUGACAAAAUGCAGUAUAAAAUCACAAGAAUGCUUAUUCUUGUUUCGAGCAUAUUUGUAAUGGUGAAAUUACCUAGACAUUACUUUUUCCUCUUUUGUUUUUACAUACCUAAAUAUGGCGAUGGGAUACCUAUGAUCAUAAUAUUUCACUUAUUGGACACAGCACAUUACAGUAUAAAUUUUGUUCUCUACUGCGCAACUGGACAAACUUUUCGCAAAGAACUAAUCCACAUGUUUACAAAACGUACAAAUAUAAGGAAAAACAAAAAUCACGGAGAUGUAUAAUUAUAAGUAACACUUGCAAGUUUACGUCCAAUCGACCUUCGUACUCACAUAUCGAUGCGGAACCGAGUGCCAAAGAUCAAUUUAACUGCUAUAGCUGAAUUACUUGCUAUUUUCGAUGGUACAACAGGCGACUUCGAGACUUGGAAAAGACAACUGACUGACUAUUAAAACGAACAUAUCGAUUAGAUGAUGAGCAUGCAAAGAUAUUAAUUGGUAUGCGAUUGAGAGGAAAAGCGUUAGAUUGGUUACAUUCUAAGCCUGAAUUUAUUGAGAUAUCAUUAGAGGCACUAUUGAUCGAACUAAAGAGUAUGUUCCAUCAUCGGUCUAACAGAAUGAUACUGCGACGAAAGUUUGAAGAGCGAGAAUGGAAGAAAGGAGAGACAUUUUGCGAGUAUGCGUAUGAAAAGACAAUUCUUGGUAAUCGCAUCCCGAUUGAAGAAAAUGAAAUUGUUGAAUAUAUUAUCGACGGCAUUCCUGAUCCAAUAUUGAGAGAUCAAGCACGAGUUAGCGGCCUUAAGACAAAAAAGUCAUUGUUGGAAGCAUUCGAAAAAGUCACACUAUGGGACAGGAAAUAUUCUGGAGCGAGAAGCGGCGAAUCAAGAGAGAAGACACAAUUCCGCCAAAGGAUGGACAAGGAUGAUAACAGAGGAAAAAACGAGCAGCAUAAAUCAUCACACAAGGGGAAGAAAAAUUGCUAUAACUGUGGUUUACCCGAUCAUCAUGGCAAGGACUGUCCGACUAAGAAAAAUGGAUCUCAGUGUUUUUAAUGCAAUGAGCGUGGGCACAUUGCGAUAAAAUGUCCGAAGAGACGAGAGGUAAAAGACAGCUGCGUCGCAAUGCAGGUAAUGCAAACAAAAUGUACUAAAGAAGUUGAAAUUAAUGAUCAUAAAAUCGUUGCUUUAGUUGAUACUGAAAGUGAUUUAUGUUUAAUACGCGCGGAUCAAUACAUUAGACUAGGAUCUCCUUUAUUAGAAUAUAAAGAAACUCAUUUCCAUGGCGUAGGACUAAAAGAAAACGUAACACUUGGAGAAUUUCGUGCAGAAUUAACAGUAGACGGACAUUCAUAUCCUAUACUUAUUCGAGUUGUAUCAGAUAAUGUAAUUAAUCACAAAUUUCUUAUUGGUACUAAUUUUUUUAAAUACAGUCGAGUUGCAUGUCAAAAGCGGAAAUAUAUCAAUUAGUCCAGUCAAAGAGAUAACUACGAAUAAUGAAUUGCCCGAAAUAUUUCAAAUAGAUCUAGAGUGCGAGAAAAUUGAUAAAAUAAACGUAAAGCAUAUUCCGGAAAGUAGACACCGAUUAGUUCUCGAAAACAUUGUUAAUAACUAUCAUCCUUUAAAAACUAAAGAAACUGAUGCUAAGAUGACAAUAGUCUUAAAAAACGAAGAGCCGGUAUAUCAGAAAGCCUGAUGUUUGUCACCAAAAGAAAGAGAGAAAAUGAACAUGUAAGCGAGUAGAUUUGAGAUGGUAUUGCACGACCCUCUCUUUCUGAUUAUGCAAGUCCUGUAGUAUUAGUAAAAAAAAAAGAUGGAAGUACCAGACUGUGUGUCGAUUAUCGACAACUAAAUAAAAAAAUUGUACGAGACAGAUAUCCGCUUCCACUCAUAGAAGACCAAUUAGAUCUUUUACAAAACGCGAAAUUUUUUAGUAUUUUAGAUCUUAAAAACGGAUUUUUUCAUGUUUUGAUCGAUGAAGAUAGUCGAAAGUAUACAGCUUUUAUUAUUCCUGAUGGCCACUAUAAAUUUUUAAAAGUACCCUUCGGACUUUGUAAUUCACCAUCACCAAUUUUUUAACGAUUUAUAAAUGUAACUUUUCGAGAUGUAAUACGCGAUAAGAUAGUACUAACUUACAUAGAUGAUCUAAUAAUACCUUCUAUAGAUAUAGAUACUGGAAUACAAAACCUUGAAAUAAUAUUAAAAAUUGCGAGCGAAGCAGGAUUAAUGAUAAAUUGGAAAAAAUGUUGUUUUCUGCAGAAUAAAGUAGAAUUUCUUGGUCACGUAAUAGAGAAUGGUCAAGUAUGUCCAUCUGCGAAUAAAAUUGAGGCAGUGCGUAAAUUUCCAGAAUCAACUAAUUUAAAACAAGUGCAAAGCUUUCUCGGAUUAAGUGGCUAUUUCAGAAAAUUUGUAUCAAAUUAUUCAAUUAUAGCGCGUCCAUUGAGUAAUUUAUUAAGAUCUAAUGUGAAAUUUCAAUUCACAGAAAGAGAAAGAGAAGCGUUUAUCCGUCUGAAAGAAAUAUUGUGUAAUAAACCCGUAUUACGUUUACAUAAAAUAGGUGUACAAACAGAAUUGCAUACUGACGCAUCAGCUGAUGGAUAUGGCGCGAUUUUGAUGCAAAAAAACGAUGAAGAUAAUAAAUUUCAUCCAGUGUAUUAUUCAAGCGGCAAAACUUCUCCCGCAGAACAACGUUAUACAAGUUAUGAAUUAGAAGUAUUAGCAAUUGUCAAAGCAUUAGCUAAGUUUCGCGUUUAUUUGUUAGGAAUAACAUUCAAAAUAAUAACAGAUUGUCGCGCAUUUACUUUAACCAUGCACAAGAAAGAUUUAUGUAUACGGAUAGCUAGAUGGGCCUUACUUUUAGAAGAGGUUGAUUACACUAUUGAACAUCGACCUGGAAAAAAUAUGGCACACGUAGAUGCGUAAGUCGUAAUCCUUUUCUGAAAUGUAUGAUGAUAAAUAAUAAUGAUAGUUUACUAUAAAGUUUAAGCGAGCACAACAAGAGGAUAAUGAUAUUAAGAAAAUAUUCGACACUGUUAAAGAAAAUAAUAUUGAAGGCUAUACAAUCAAAAACAAUUUGCUUUUUAAGAAAUGUAAUGGAGAUAUUUUAUUAGUUGUUCCAAAAUCAAUGCACACACAAAUUAUCAAACAAGCACAUGAUAGAGGUCAUUUCUCUGCUGUAAAAACUGAAGCGUUAUUAUUGAAAGAUUUUUGGAUGCCCAAUGUAAAGAUGAAAAUAGAAAAAGUAAUAAGAAACUGUGUAGCUUACAUUUUAGCUGAGAGAAUACAAGGCAAACAGGAAGGAUAUUUAAAUACAAUAGAAAAAAGCGAAUUACCUUUAGAUACAUACCAUAUCGAUCAUUUAGGAUCACUACCUUCUACAAAAAAGAGUUAUAAGUAUAUUUUUGCAAUAGUCGACGCAUUUACAAAGUUUGUAUGGUUAUAUGGUACUAGAACCACAAACGCUACUGAAGUCGUAAAUAAGCUUAAAAAACAAUCAGCUAUUUUUGGAAAUCCGCGAAGAAUAAUCUCAGAUCGAGGCGCGGCUUUUACAUCUAAAAAGUUUGCAGAAUAUUGUACGAAAGAAAACAUUAAUCAUGUAUUAACCAGAGUUUCACGAGCGAACGGUCAGAUAGAACGCGUGAACCGAAUUUUAAUACCAUUAUUUUAACUAAACUUACAGAUCCUAAACGUGAAGAGUGGUUUAAAUUUAUUAAUUUGGCUCAAUUAUACUUAAAUUGUAAUUCACAUAGAAGUAUUGGUACAACACCAUUCCAUUUAUUUUUUAGAACUCAUGCGCGUAUUCAAGAUGAUCCUUAGAUUCGAGAAUUAUUAGAAAAAGAGUGGAUCGAAGAUUUUCGGAAUGAUCGAGACGAUUUGCGUAGAAAUGCAAAAGAGUGUAUUACAAAAAUUCAGCGUGAAAAUCGAGCGACUUUUAAUAAAACGCGAAAAUUAGCGACAAAAUAUAACGAAAACGAUUUAGUUGCGAUAAAGCGUACGCAAUUAGGACUUGGUCUUAAGUUAGCGAAUAAAUAUUUUGGUCCAUACUCUGUAACAAAAGUAUUACGUAAUGAUAGAUAUACAGUACAAAAAUUAGACAAACACGAAGGACCUUUCAGAACAUCCACUUCUGCAGACUAUAUGAAACCAUGGGUAGAUUAUGCGAGUGAUUCAGAAGAGUAAAAAUAUUGUCAUUUGAGGACAAAUGUUCGAGCAGAAUGGCCGAAUGUAGGAAUGCGAAUAUACAGGGUGUUUCAGAUCAAACGCAGGUCUUCGAAGGAGUGGAUAGAUCUCGAUAACGUGAGUAAAAAAUGUCCGUACAAGAAAAUUGUGGGGUCAAUAGUUUUUGAAUAAAAUGCAUUUGAAAUUAACCAA
rnacentral:lncRNA from 1 species